rnacentral:lncRNA from 1 species
CGGUCAUACUCCUCGAUCAUGUUAUCGAGAUCCUCUUCGGUGGUGAGGGAGAUUAGAGAAUCAAGAUCUUCGCUGGGUAGCUGAUACUUGAGCGUGACGGAGCGGCCGUUGAGUAGCGUGUUGGAGAGACGAGUGAUGAGAGAAGAGAGGGAGGAGGUGCGGUCGAGGGCAAUGAUGCGAGUGUCGCCGCCCAUGUAACAGAGCGACUUGUCGUGCGGGCGGGGAAGGAUGUGGCCGUUGUAACUGCACAUGAGACGGAGUUUGGAAGAGGCGGCGCCAGCGGGAGGAGGAAGAUCGUCCCAGGCAUCGGUGGUGCGGGAUUUUGGGGAGGAGUCUAGAGACUCGGGGUAAGAUGAUGGCACGUGAGGAGGAGGAGGAGGUAUAGAAGAGGUGGCUGCGGGAACGACGGUGGAGGAGAGAGAAGGAGGCGGUGGUUCCAUAGGAGAGAGAGAGAGAGUUGAAAAAGGCCAAAGUGUAGUGGGAUUCGGGAGAGAGUUUAUAGCAGCUAGUUCACGACUUGUACAGCGCAGCUAUUUUCUUUUUCUCUUUUUCUUAUCUGAUUUUCCCCCUUAAAUGUAAUCUAUGGUUUAAUAAUUAGCAAUAGAACAAGAGUUUCUACAAAAUUGUACUAUCUUAAGAUAUGAAAAUUCACAUAAUCAAAUCUAACAAUUGUAUGUGAUUUAUUGUUAAAUUAUAUUUUGUAUUUAAAAAUAAAAUUAAUGAAUUUUAAGUAUGUAAUUAAUUUAUGUAAUUAAUAAAAUUUAAUUUUGACGAAAAACAUAUAUGUAAUUUUGAUUAAAUGAUUAUUUAUUGUUGUAUCAAACAUAUGCUAUUUUUCUUUUGUAUUAAUAUAAUUUAUAAUGUCUAUUGUAUGUUAACCUUUUACAUGUUCAUAUGUUUAAAUUUACAGUUGGAAAUGUUUAUGGAUAUUGGUAAUAAUUUUUAUAUAUUUACCAUUGUACAACUAAUUAAAUCAUGUAUGUUAGUUGCAACUAAUUACCAUUUUUAGUUGCAACUAAUUACCAUAUUUACCAUUUUUUUACAGUUACAACAAAAAAUUACCAUUUUUAAUGUUUUGAGAAUUAGUUAAUUUUCUAUUAGUCGCUACACAGUACAAACUCUAUAAAUUAAUAUUUGAUAAUUUAAUAAAAGCUUUAAAUUAAUAAAUUAUUCAAGUUUCGAGUUUGAUCGCUUUAAAAUAUGACACAAAUUAAUAAAAUAAUUAGAUAAUAAUAAUUAUGGUUUUAUUAAAAUCAUAAAUCAAUAAUUUAUAUAUACAUUUUAUAUAUAUACAAAAAAAUAAUGUAUUGUUUUCUAUAUAAAUUAUUAAAUAUUUUAAUACAUUUUAAUUCACUAAGGAUAAAUAUGUAAUUGACCAUCUAUAUUCACAGUGAUAUUAUCUAUGUUUUUCUUAGCAAUUCAAUAUUUUUAUAAUAUUUAGUAAAAUUAUAUUUAAAACCAUAUUUAAAUUCUAUAAAAUAUAUUUUAUAUGCACUAAACAUUGUAAGAAAAAUAAUAUGAAAGUCUAAUCUCAGAAUAAAAUUAAUUAUUUCUGAUUUAUAUAAAAAUAUACUCUGGAAUAGGAAAAUCUAUAAAAUCUAUAAAAGAAAACUUUUUUUGUAAAUUAAUAACCCUAUGGAGCGGCCGUUGAGUAGCGUGUUGGAGAGACGAGUGAUGAGAGAAGAGAGGGAGGAGGUGCGGUCGAGGGCAAUGAUGCGAGUGUCGCCGCCCAUGUAACAGAGCGACUUGUCGUGCGGGCGGGGAAGGAUGUGGCCGUUGUAACUGCACAUGAGACGGAGUUUGGAAGAGGCGGCGCCAGCGGGAGGAGGAAGAUCGUCCCAGGCAUCGGUGGUGCGGGAUUUUGGGGAGGAGUCUAGAGACUCGGGGUAAGAUGAUGGCACGUGAGGAGGAGGAGGAGGUAUAGAAGAGGUGGCUGCGGGAACGACGGUGGAGGAGAGAGAAGGAGGCGGUGGUUCCAUAGGAGAGAGAGAGAGAGUUGAAAAAGGCCAAAGUGUAGUGGGAUUCGGGAGAGAGUUUAUAGCAGCUAGUUCACGACUUGUACAGCGCAGCUAUUUUCUUUUUCUCUUUUUCUUAUCUGAUUUUCCCCCUUAAAUGUAAUCUAUGGUUUAAUAAUUAGCAAUAGAACAAGAGUUUCUACAAAA